AAAAAGAAAAAAAGGAGUGGGUGAGAAGAAUCAACCGCCAAGGAAGUGCUGGUCGCUUCUCUUUGUGGCAACCUUCUAAGCACCACGGGAUAUGCGGAGCUCACUUCAACGCAAGUGGACGCCGUGGUUAUCUGGACCGGCUGCCAACAAUUUUCCCCCACAAGGUCAUCAAUCAACUAUCUCCUUCCUUUAAUACCAUCGCGAAACGCAAGAAGACGAGCUCCCAAACUGCCUCUGCCAGCCCGGUGCUCCUUCUGAACGAGUUGGAUAUCGGCUGCGUAGUUGACGUGCCCCAAUGCGAUCAACAAAGCGACGUUGUUUCCCAGGAGCCCACCCAGCUGACAUUCGGUGCACCGGCUUCGCCUCGCACGGAAACGGAAGGUGCCGACCACUCGUACUCCAUGGGGCCUCCAGACGCAGCAUCUUCUGCCACACUAAGAAAAGUCAACCACCUUCUCGAAGUCUG